rnacentral:rRNA from 1 species
GCAGAUGGUGGAUACCUAGGCACACAGAGGCGAUGAAGGACGUGACGACCGACGAUAUGCUUCGGGGAGCUGGAAGUAAGCUUUGAUCCGAAGAUUUCCGAAUGGGGCAACCCUUAACAUGACUGUCUGAAUCCAUAGGACAGCCCAAGCCAACCCAGCGAAUUGAAACAUCUUAGUAGCUGGAGGAAGAGAAAGCAAACGCGAUUUCCUUAGUAGCGGCGAGCGAAGUGGAAACAGCCUAAACCAGUCGAUUUAUCGAUUGGGGUUGUGGGACGGCAACGUGUAUCAGAGCGGUUAAACGAAGUAGUGAGAAGCUACACCAGAGAAGGUGAAAGUCCUGUAGUUGAAAACUUAACUGAGCUAGCCGGAUCCCGAGUAGCAUGGAGCACGUGAAAUUCCGUGUGAAUCAUCGAGGACCACCUCGAAAGGCUAAAUACUCCUGUGUGACCGAUAGUGAACUAGUACCGCGAGGGAACGGUGAAAAGAACCCCGGGAGGGGAGUGAAAUAGAACAUGAAACCGUAAGCUCCCAAGCAGUGGGAGGAGCCCGGGGCUCUGACCGCGUGCCUGUUGAAGAAUGAGCCGGCGACUUAUAGGUACAGGUAGAUUAAGGC